GAAGAAACAAUGGAGGGAAUUUGAUAGAGCAAAAAUGUUGGUGGGUCCUGGAGAGAGGGGCCCUGCCCCCUGUUUCCUAUUCUCAAGAACAGCUCCAGAGAGGCAGCAAGGGAACGACUGUGAGAAAUAUUUGCACAGAUGAGUCCACAUAGUCUCCUCCAAUUUCCUGUCCUUCCAGCACAGAAGCAGCAGAAAGACUUCUGCGCAAUGCUGAAGCUGCAGAAAGAUUCGAGAUCUUCAGGAGGGCAGCGACAAUGGUAAAGCCAAGUGGAGGGAGCUGAAUGCAGAGCAAAUGACAUUACUGGAAAUUUCAGCUUUUAACUCUGACGAGGCUCUGCCAAUACCUGGAUCCAGAUAAGUGUGAGUACUACAUUGGAACACAAGGCCUGACUACAGACUAGAAGUGGCUCCAGAAGCACUUCAUCUUCUGUGGCUAAGAAACAGGAUCUGUUCUGAGAAAAACCAACAUCUGUAACCACACGUUAAGAGUGCAUAAAUUCACACACACAUACAUCACAACAACAACAACAACAACAACUUUCUUUGAAAGAGGGGCGAGUGAUGUAGUUAUAAUCUCUCACUAUUGGAGAGUUUCUGAAACAUGUUCACAUCUCCUACCUCAUUUGAUCCUCCCCCAAAUGCAGUUUGGAAUAAGGCAUGCAGCCACUACAAGUCCUGUUUCACAGAUGAAGUGGGUGAGGUUUAGAAAAGCCAAGGGCCUAGCUCAAGGUCACAAGUUACUGGGUGGCGGAGCAGGGACGUGAGCCCAGGUGUCCGAGUCCUGUGCCAUUGGGGACCCACUUGACUAAUGCAGGGUAUUAGAGUUAAGUGGGUAAGGGGUCUUGAAACAUUUGCCCAUUUUUCAGGCAUUUGACCUAAACCACAGAAAAGGGAAAAACUAGUGACCUAAGGUCACAUAAAGAGUCACACAAGCAGAAAAUUGAAGAAAGAAUGAAGUCUAACUCCAGUCCAUGUUUACAACAAAUCCUCCUCCUAUCAAGAGCCAGUACCUUUAAAAAGGAAUCUCUUCUUCUCAAAAGAACCAGAGACAUUUCCAAAUGUUUUCCCCUUGAUUAAAAUCCUAGGUAUAAAAAGCAGGAAAUGUUUAUGCUCAAAAAACAAGGCUCCUCUGUAUUGAGCAAAUGGGAAUCCUUUGAUUCAAUCUGAAAUUUCUUUUCUAGGUAUGGUUACGUGGUUUUUUAAAAGAAAUAAAAAUGGAGAACGUUCAAUGCUUUAAAUACCACCUUUCUCUCUCUCAGUUUGCUUGCU
ensembl:lncRNA